rnacentral:rRNA from 1 species
UGGGGGAUAUUGCACAAUGGGCGAAAGCCUGAUGCAGCGACGCCGCGUGGGGGAUGAAGGCUUUCGGGUUGUAAACCUCUUUCGCUAUCGAACAAGGCCCGCUUAGGGUGGGUUGAGGGUAGGUGGAGAAGAAGCGCCGGCUAACUACGUGCCAGCAGCCGCGGUAAUACGUAGGGCGCGAGCGUUGUCCGGAAUUAUUGGGCGUAAAGGGCUUGUAGGCGGCUUGUUGCGCCUGCUGUGAAAACGCGGGGCUUAACUUCGCGCGUGCAGUGGGUACGGGCAGGCUUGAGUGUGGUAGGGGUGACUGGAAUUCCAGGUGUAGCGGUGGAAUGCGCAGAUAUCUGGAGGAACGCCGAUGGCGAAGGCAGGUCACUGGGCCAUUGCUGACGCUGAGGAGCGAAAGCAUGGGUAGCGAACAGG